GCCUAUGGAAAAAGUGACUCUAAACGUGGCCGAUCUCGGCAGAUCUCGGAAGCUAAGUCGGUUUGAGCCUGGAUAGCGUUUGGAUGGGCGACCACCACCGUGCAGAGAGGAGGAGUAGCAGGCA
rnacentral:rRNA from 1 species